UCUGCUUUUUUGAUGAAGUAGCCAAAUUUCCUUUGAAGUAGCUGCAUUCAACAAAAAUGGAGUCGCUGAAAAUAAAGCUAUGAAUAUAUUACUUGUAAAAAACUUGAUGAAUCCAUUUUGCAAAAAUGAUAUCAGUUUUCAUUUUAUAUUUCCGUCUUAGUUACAAAAAUGCUGCCUUGUUUUCACUUCGUUUUAUAUUUUCAAGGUUCUGUAUAGGAAUCAAUGAAGUAAUAGAUAACACAAAAUGAAAAUAGGAAAUUAAGUAUGAAUAAAAUGAUAUUUUUACAAUUUUAAGUAAGAAUAUGAAAUAAAAACCAAAAACAUUUUUUGAAACCAAACAUGCCCUAAGCUAUCUAUUCUAGUUGAAUUGAUUUAUAAGCUACUUACACUUUCUCUCAGAAAUGGUCAGCUUCUGCUAUAUAUAAGCAUUGAAAGUCAUCCAGUCUGUUUAUGCCAACAAGUUGGACUACUCUACACCGCAUAGGAUCCAUAAAGCUAGCACUAAUAAUCCAUGCCUAACUUCACUACUGAUUAAUCCUCAGACUUUCAUGCACAAAUACACAGCAUGUCCUAAACUUUCUUGCUCCAACUCAACUUUGAAAAGCUAAAACCUUUUCCAAGUUCUAACCAUACUAUGUUGGCUAUUCGUCUGGUGUGCCAUGAGGCUUGAGUGCUAAAUACAUUCUUUCCAGAUCUAACAUUUUAGCAAAUCAGGCAUCCACAGCAUCAAUGGAUG
rnacentral:lncRNA from 1 species